rnacentral:sRNA from 1 species
CCAUGAACAACGCAAAAUAACAACCUUCAUGUUUCUCUGACUACAAUUGAUGAGAGGUGCAGUCGCAAGACUCGUGCCCAGGACCACCGAUUUCCGAGCAACACAGAACGGGAGAGAAAAGCGAACAGUCUUGGGUGCGGUGCUUCCCAGCCUUUUUUGUGCCAAUGGGGAGGAUCGCAAUGAUUGAACGUACAU